rnacentral:rRNA from 1 species
CCUACGGGUGGCAGCAGUGAGGAAUAUUGGUCAAUGGACGAGAGUCUGAACCAGCCAAGUAGCGUGCAGGAUGACUGCCCUAUGGGUUGUAAACUUCUUUUAUAUGGGAAUAAAACGUUCCACGUGUGGGAUUUUGUAUGUACCAUCUGAAUAAGGAUCGGCUAACUCCGUGCCAGCAGCCGCGGUAAUACGGAGGCUCCGAGCGUUAUCCGGAUUUAUUGGGUUUAAAGGGAGCGUAGGUGGAUUGUUAAGUCAGUUGUGAAAGUUUGCGGCUCAACCGUAAAAUUGCAGUUGAAACUGGCAGUCUUGAGUACAGUAGAGGUGGGCGGAAUUCGUGGUGUAGCGGUGAAAUGCUUAGAUAUCACGAAGAACUCCGAUUGCGAAGGCAGUUCACUGGACUGCAACUGACACUGAGGCUCGAAAGUGUGGGUAUCAAACAGGAUUAGAUACCCUGGUAGUC